rnacentral:tRNA from 1 species
GGCGAAAUUGGUAGACGCACCAGAUUUAGGUUCUGGCGCCGCGAGGCGUAAGAGUUCAAGUCUCUUCUUCCGCACCA